GGAUGCGAUCAUACGGGCACUAAUGCAUCGGAUCCUAUUUGAACUCCGCAAUUAAGCGUGCUUGGGUGAGAGUAGUACUAGGAUGGUUGACCUCCUGGAAAGUUCUCGUGUUGCACCCC
rnacentral:rRNA from 1 species